GUGCUCACUUUGGCAGCACAUAUAUUAAAAUUGGACAACACAGAGAAGAUUAGCAUGGCUCCUGCACAAGGAUGACACCCAAAUUCAUGAGACGUUCUCCAUAUUU
rnacentral:snRNA from 1 species